rnacentral:tRNA from 1 species
GGGGUUGUGGCUCAUCGGUAGAGUGCUCGCCUAGAGUGCAAGGGCCUGGGUUCUAUCCUCAGCACCACA